UGGGGAAUAUUGGACAAUGGGCGAAAGCCUGAUCCAGCAAUGCCGCGUGGGUGAAGAAGGUCUUCGGAUCGUAAAGCCCUUUCGACGGGGACGAUGAUGACGGUACCCGUAGAAGAAGCCCCGGCUAACUUCGUGCCAGCAGCCGCGGUAAUACGAAGGGGGCUAGCGUUGCUCGGAAUUACUGGGCGUAAAGGGCGCGUAGGCGGCGGCCCAAGUCAGGCGUGAAAUUCCUGGGCUCAACCUGGGGACUGCGCUUGAUACUGGGUUGCUUGAGGAUGGAAGAGGCUCGUGGAAUUCCCAGUGUAGAGGUGAAAUUCGUAGAUAUUGGGAAGAACACCGGUGGCGAAGGCGGCGAGCUGGUCCAUUACUGACGCUGAGGCGCGACAGCGUGGGGAGCAAACA
rnacentral:rRNA from 2 species